GCUAAUUGCAUGAUUUUGUUGCUAAUGUAAAGGAUAGUUUGUUCGUUGGAGGAAGCUCAAUUUUGGCUUUUUCCUUAGGUUUAUUUUGUUGGAUGCUUGAAAUUAGAGCUGCUAGAUUCAGCAUAAACUGAUAAGAUAACUUCAUAUAAUCACUUGUUCCUGUAUUUUUCUUUAACUGUGAGCUUUAAGGCGAUCUCUGCGUAUCUAUCUUUCUUUGAGUUAAGAGUUGCUUUGGUAUAAUAAUUAUAGAAUUGCAGCCAUUAAAGCACUAAAGUCUUAGUUCAGUUUAUAUUAUUUUCCGUUUAUUUACAGACGGAGAUAAUUUGUUUAGUUUUGGUUUAGUUUGCUUCAUAUGAGAAAUGAUCUGCGUUGUGUGUUCUUUAGCUUUUCAUGUUUCACUUUAUUUUAACGUGUUGACCUUGAUACAUAAGCUUUUGGCAUUGUGCAAAUGGCAUAUGCGAAUGGUGUUUCAACACAUUACCUCAAACAACUAGGCUUGGAAGUUGUGUUUACUCUAACUGGUGUGAAGUAUUUGCACAAGAAAGCUUCAGAAUAUGACAUCGGGAUCUAUUUUAAGCAAAUGGUCAUGGAACGAUUCUAUUUUCAGAAGAUUUUAUAUCUAUCCUACAUGAUGUGGAGAAAGAGCUUGCUUCUUUCAGUUUUAUUUGAUUGUAUAAUGGUCUACUAAGAGCAUACAUCUCCUGAUUCUAGUCAUAUUUAAUUCCAACUUGCAUGCAUUUCUGUAUGCACUAUAUUCUGUAUGCACUAUAUUACUUCAAACAACUAUAUUUUGUAUGCACUAUUUUUAAAUUUUAACCUUACAAAUAGGCGUUUAAUAAUUAUUUUUUCUCUAUUAUCCUUGUAGUUCCAAACAUUGCGUGCAAUGGUCCAAACAAAUCCACAGAUUUUAUAGGUCUGUAUCUCUCUCUACAAGAGAGGACUUGACUGAUCUUGCAAAUUUAGUGUUCCACUACAAAGUGUUUCUCUUUGUGCAGCCAAUGCUUCAAGAACUAAGCAAGCAGAAUCCAGCAUCAUGCAGAAUUUCUUCAGUUAAUAAAUGGAUGUGAACUUGUGAAAAUAGCUCUUAUAAAUAUAUUUUGAAAGCUUAACUGCUUAAACAAUGUACUCUAAUUCUUAUUCAUAUAUUUUGAAAUUCUUUGCAUGGAGUAUUCUGACCUUUAAACUUUGAAACAUGCAUCUACAUUUAGUAUCCUCUAGCUUGUCGGUCAAAUUGAAUUUUCUAGGAUCUUAAAUCUCUCUCGUCUCAGAAAUAAAUACGAGUCGUUCUGGUAAUGUGAAGUGUCCGCCUGGCUGAACAGGAAGCCAUAGCAUAGAAAGGUUGGAAGCAAUGGGCUUUGAUCGUGGGCAUGUCAUCGAAGCAUUUUUAGCCUGUGAUAGGAAUGAGGAGUUGACUGCAAAUUAUUUGUUAGAACAUGCUGGUGAUUAAGAGUGAAGGAUUUGGACCAAGGGCAUUGAUGGGUUCUGAAGAGAUAAAGCAAGCACUCUUUAGGAAUGCAGACUAUGAGGGGAGAUGCUUGUGAAUAGAAUCUCUGAAUUGGAAGCGGAUUAGUUGUACUGUUAAGAGGGAAAAAAUAACUUUUAAAGUAUGCUUUAUAUGUAUAUUGAAUAAGUAUUGGAAGUUCAAUGUUGUAAUUGUUUGUUUU